AGUCCAUUUCAUUUAUUUCUGAUUAAUGUUUCUGAGUUGGGAGCCGUGAAUAAGUCAAGAAGAAAGAUCAUAACUGGAGGGAUGCCAUACUGUCUGAAGGUGUUCAGACCUCAGUCUUCUCCAUAGCUGUGACCUGCAUCUAGACCAAAAACCAACCUCUUUGUUUUCUUCAUGAAAGAGAUGUUUCAUAAGAGAGACAGCUCCCGCCCCAAAGAGCUUGUGGUUUGCACCUAGGCCUGAGAUUGUGGAAGGAUGCCACUAACAGCUCUGAUGUCUUGGAAUAGCUGGGAGGAGAUUUGCUAAAAAGUCAGCAGUUGUGCCUGCAGACACUGAAUUCCACCUGGCCUAGAGCUUGAGGUGUAUAAGGGAGCGGCACGUGAAACCUGCCAGGGCAGUUAUCCUGUGGUUUCUGCAUGCUUCCCGUUCCCAGGAGGCCAGUGGGAGCCCCGAGCUCAGUGAUGGCAAUGGGGACCUUCACAUUGCCCUGGCAACUGCUCUGGCAAGAAGAAGACUAAGUACACCAUCACCAGAUACUUUCAUAUGGAUUAGUGAUUAAUGCUCCUUACUGUAACAGGAAUGGCUAGGUGUCUGCUAAUGCACUUCCAAGUGUUCCCAAAGAGUGGCUGUGGAUGCAGUCUCUAGAUUUGCAUUCAGAAGGUAAUGACCUGAUAGUAAAAGCAAAUUAAAUUGGACUGAUCCAAA